GAUGAACGCUAGCGGCAGGCUUAACACAUGCAAGUCGAGGGGCAGCAUGACGGAACCUUCGGGUUUUGUUGAUGGCGACCGGCGCAAGGGUGCGUAACGCGUGAGCAACUUGCCCGUUUCAGGGGGAUAACCGGUGGAAACGCCGACUAAUACCCCAUAGCAUCAACUUUAGGCAUCUUUAGUUGAUUAAAGAAUUUCGGAAACGGAUAGGCUCGCGUGACAUUAGCUAGAUGGCGGGGUAACGGCCCACCAUGGCGACGAUGUCUAGGGGUUCUGAGAGGAAGGUCCCCCCACACUGGAACUGAGACACGGUCCAGACUCCUACGGGAGGCAGCAGUGAGGAAUAUUGGUCAAUGGUCGGAAGACUGAACCAGCCAAGUAGCGUGAAGGAUGAAGGUUCUAUGGAUUGUAAACUUCUUUUAUACGGGAAUAAAACCUCCCACGUGUGGGAGCUUGUAUGUACCGUAUGAAUAAGCAUCGGCUAACUCCGUG
rnacentral:rRNA from 1 species